UAGGUGGAUGAGCCGAGUUGGCCGAUGGCGGCGGACUGUAAAUCCGUUUCCCACAUGGGACGCGCAGGUUCGAAUCCUGCUCCACCUAU
rnacentral:tRNA from 1 species